rnacentral:lncRNA from 1 species
CGGGAGACUACCACCCCAAACCUGAACCUGUUGAAGAAAUAUUCCCCCAAAACCCCAAUACCCGCUUAACUCUUCUUCCACUUGCACAGAUCUAUGAAAGAUAAACCCAAAACUACCAGCCUUACCAGUUUACCCGCAAAUAGUUGUGUACUAGAAUUGGUAUAAUGUAGCCCACAUACAUGCCACCAACGACUUCACUUGACGUACCCUACGUAACACAUAUGAUUGAAUCAUGUAAGUUUUCUCUUUAGAUACCCCAAUGUGAUGCAAAAUCUAUUCGUCAUAGCAUUAUAAUUGUGAAUUUGAUAAAAGAUUUGAUUUAUUUUAAUGGAUGAUUUGAUUCUCUCUUUAUUUGAUAACGAGGGCCUUUAUUCCCACUCCUGACACGAGGGGUGGGACGAUGUGACGUUUACUAAAAACUUUUGGUCAAUUUUACCCUUUUCUCAUAUCUCUCUCUCACCCAAUUUUACCCCUUUUCAUCAUUUACAUAGACAUGUUAUUAAACAUUAUAAAUACUUAUAAACGCUUGAUAAUAUAUUAAAAAUUAAAUCCGGGUUAUUAUAGACAAUAUUGAUAAUAGAAGUGAGUUUAGUGAAAAAUUGAUGAAUCGUGAUAAUUUCUUAAUUUUCUUUUGAUGCUGCCACUAAUGUCAAUUGCAAGCGAUGUGCAAAACAAUUAACAUAAUAAGCAUAUGGAUAGUCAUUCAACACCAAAGCUUGGAACAAGAUGUGAUUUUGGAACAUGGGUGCAACGCUGUCUCAACUGUCUGAGAAAAGGGUAUUACUAACAACUAAGGUGAAGAAUCUAUUUUGCAAUUGUUUGUAUAUUAUUUUCAUGUUGCAAGUUGUUUUUAUCGAGGAUUGGAUAUUGGUAUCUGUUGAUUACAAAUAUACGUGAAAAGUUGAGCAGCGUUUAAAUCCAUCAUUUUUGCAUGUGCUUGUCCAUGAAUACAUGUGACUAAAUUGGGAAACUAUUGAUAGACCUAUUUGGGUAUAUUUUGAGUGUCGAAGACUAGGCCUCUGUUUGGUUGCUGUUUCUAGAAUCAGUUUUGUAGAAUAGUUUUCAGAAAAUUUGUUUAGUUGGCAGUUUUUGGACCUUGUUUUCUGGGAAUUCUUCAAAAAUAACGCGUUUUGGGUACUUAGCCUCUUGAUUCUCGGCAUCAAAAUGCAGUGUAAUAUAAGAAGGAAUUGACAGUAAAUAUAAAGAUCCUCUAUAGCAAUAGGACUGUCAUUAGCCAAAGCGUCCACACAUAUGUUUGCUUCCCGAUGUGUGAUGCUGAAAAUUGAUGCUUCAAGCUGACUCCAUAGGUACCUGCAAUCCCAAAUUCUUAGUAAGAGAAUGACUAGGUAUCUUAUUCUCUUCCAUUUCUUGCUUCGCUGCAACAGCAUCCACUUCAAUUUCCAGUACUCCCAUGACUAUAGUUAGUUUCAAUCCAUCCUUAGGCCCCCAUAACUCAGCCGCUAAGCCUGAGGUUCUCCACUCUCCUAACGUCGCCGUUGAAACCUCCAAUAUAUUUAAAAGCCUUGAAAUUGGUUGAUUCAAUUCUGUGGAGCAAUGAAGUAAAAAGAAGUCGAGAUGAGAUUUGCUACAUCUGCAGUUUGUAGUUGACGGUGAUGUUAAUGGCUAUGCAAGUAGAUUUGUUUGCAUUGUGUGCAUUUAAAAUCCAUUGUAUGCAUUGCAAUGUAUUCUCUCUUGAAUGGUUCUUGGCAGUACAAAGUUAUCAUUAACAGAUCAUUUGGUGUUUUUUCUUGUUAUUUAGGUUGUGUUUGGAUACCGGAUUUGGUGAGAGAAAAUAAAAUGGAAAUGGAAAUGGAAAAGUUAGACGAUCCAACUGUUCGGGACCAUCGAAUCAUCUACCUUUUUCAUUUUUAUUUUCUUUUUCCUCCCGAAUCCUUGAUCCAAACACAGCCUUAGUGUUGAUGGGAGGCAUGAGAAUCUCUCUCUAUACUUCCCUGGUUGGUCUUUGGUACUAGUAGGGGUGUACUGGUCGAUUAGGUGGUUUCGACUUGGCAGGUUAGACGGGUUUGGUAGGUCGAGAUUUAAGAGAGCGUGAAGUACUAUUCUAUUAGAGAAGUGGCAAAUACAAAUAUGACAAAUAAAAUAAAGUUAACAAUAGAUAGCAUAAUAAAUUAGGUAAGAACAAAUUAUGUGAGAAUGAAUUGACUGGUACCCGAUCGAGGAUUUCAAUAUUUCUAUUAUAUUGACUCUUAACAGGCGGGUGACAGUAAAUAACGAGAUAUUUGCCUACACACGAUCGGUUUGGUUCUUGUACCCAUCGGGUGCAAGAGAAAUUGCCAUUCCUAGAUGCCCUUUAUUAGUAUGCCACAUGGACUUAGGAGGGAUAUUGACUUUCACUUUUAAGAAGCUUGGGUAUAUUGCUACCUUAAGACACAUUACAAACAAACUGAAGUUGAAAACAUAGUUUGGAACACACAUAAAGCCCUCAGUUUGGUCAUCUAGAACUAUUUUGACCCACAAGAAAAAUAAUAAUCCGAAAAAG